CGAGUGGUGGACGGGUGAGUAAUGUCUGGGAAACUGCCCGAUGGAGGGGAGUAACUACUGGAAACGGUAGCUAAUACCGCAUAACGUCGCAAGACCAAAGAGGGGGACCUUCGGGCCUCUUGCCAUCGGAUGUGCCCAGAUGGGAUUAGCUAGUAGGUGGGGUAACGGCUCACCUAGGCGACGAUCCCUAGCUGGUCUGAGAGGAUGACCAGCCACACUGGAACUGAGACACGGUCCAG
rnacentral:rRNA from 1 species